rnacentral:lncRNA from 1 species
CCAUCGUCCGCCGAUUCCUUCCACAUCCACGAACAAAGGCCAGAUCAUUUUCCUCCCAUAUCAUCCCAUGUUAUUCUCGUUCCCUAUCCAUGAUUCGACUUCAUCCUCCCCUGCAUUCACGGCAUCCAAACAGAGCCAAACCGUCCGCAUGGAUCCGAUUCCAUCCUCCCAAGGAAUGAAGCAACAUCAGCCCUUCUGGAUCAUCUUCCCAUCUAAGGAACAAAGCCAAGAUCUUCCCCAUUCUCCGUGAUUUAUCCUAAUCUUCCUCCCCGAGCACCACGGAAGAGCUUUUCUUCCGGAUUUCUUCUCUUCCGCAUACAAAACUCCUUCCACGUCAUUUUCUCCCCUGUUUCGGAAUGGAACCACAUGAUCCACGGGUAAACUCAAAUCCCAGCUCCUUCAGUCUGUUUUCUUCCUUCCAUUUGCAAGAACCCAGCGUCCCACAUGAUCCUCUGCAUGAUCAUUUCCCUCCGCGUCCGAGUAUCUCGUGGUCAGCUCGGAUUAGCUCCAUUUCCAGCCGUCUGCGAGGUGUCCACCAGCCAUCAGCCGAAUUCCCAUUAGCUGUCCGUAUCCUCUUCCUCCGAAAUCUUCUCAAACGCUCACAGGAUGAACUCAAAUCCCAUGCUCAUCCCGCUCAGAUUGGUUCCAUCUCCAUGGGAUAAACUUAAAUCCCAGCCUUCAUGGAAGAAAAGAACAGAGUAGCUCACGGAUUUCCUUUUCCGUGAGUUCAUCCCAACUCCCCUUCUUCAUCCAAACUUCCAGCUUAUAUUCCCUCCAUUACCGUUCUGCUCCAUCAACAAAAAUACAAGCUUAUCCCCUGUUUUUCCGAGCAAAUCCUUCUCCCCAAGCAUCACGGAAGAGCUCGCUAUUCCGCAUCCCCUGCUUUGAAACUAUCAUCUUAUCUUCUUCCGAACCAAAUCCAACCCGUCCCAGCUUCAUCUCUUCCGAAUUCCAUGUUAUUCUUCCCCUCCGAGAUCCUCUCAAACCCACUGUUUUCCCAUGCUUCAGCCGUGAGCAUAGUCCCCUGCAUCCACGUCGACAGUUUCCAUGUCUCGGCCGCAUUCAGAAUCUUCUCCCACACGUUGAAGAAGCUCGGCUCCUUCAUUCCCUGGAUUCACGUCAACGGGAUAAGCUACAACUCCGAGAAUCACCCCAGCUUCAACCGCAUCUCGCUUCAUUUCAUCCUUAUCCCCUGCGUGAUAACAGAGGCUGUGAAGGCUAUAAAAGGGAAUCAAUGCAUGCAGGCUAGAGGCAUUCUUCUUCCCCAUCGGGGGCUAAUCCCCAUCAAGCUCGGGAGCUCAUAGGCCAAAUCCCACAGAAACAGAGGAGGGAGAGAAGUUUGGGUCUUUUUGGGAAUGCUUUCUCAAAAGAAAAAAAUAAUGAAUUGCUAGAGAAGGAAGGAGAGAUCCAGGGAAGGGAGGAAGAAAAAAGAAAUGGGAGCCCGCUGCUGUGCCACUGCUGCUGUCGCCCACGACUCCAUGGAAGGCUGAUCUUCUCUCUAGGGCCGGAUGCAGCCCUAACAAAGGGACAUGGAUUUUAUAUUUUAUUUUAUAUUCUUGGGGUUGUAUGAACUUAUUGUUUUCAAUGGAUAUCUUCUUUUGAAUCAUAUUUAAUUUCUGUGAUUUUAAGUAUGAUGUUCGUACAACUGUUCUUCAUGAUCACUAAG